CUUAGUCUGCAGAUCAGGAAGUAGAAGGAAGGCAGUGACUGUUUCACUGAAGAUUGUGGUGACACACAAUGAGUCAACUGAACAAAGAGUGACUCUGUGGCUCAAGACUUGUUGCGUCGUUGGCUUGGGUAGACGCUUCACAGGCAGUGGUAGGAAGUGAGCGCCACGCCCGGAAAAACGUAUCUGAAAAAUCUCACGACGCUCACAUAGCUCACCGAUUUUACAACCUCAAUUCUUUCACGGAGUCUUUGAGGAUUACCGCAGGGCGCGAGUCGUAUUACGGCAGGAUGGCGGUAGUCGAGUCGUAUUGCUUUGCGACUGCAUGAGAAUUUUGUUUCGCCGUCCCUAAUCCUCGUCACGUUGGUUGAACCAGCUAUGAACGAGAGAAGGCGAAGGCUAUCGUGUCCUUGCGCCAAGACGUGUGAAGCUAGACUACUGCAUCUUUUCAAACUACUGCAUCACAGGGCAGUGCAACACACGCUGCGGAAAGCACCAUCGGCCGUCUUACGCAUACAUGAACUCAGAGAAGCUCCUGAUUGGCCAGUGUCGCUGCGAGUGAAAAGGGAGGGAGAGUAAGCCAUCCUUCCCACCCAGAGAGCACCGGUGGGAGAAAGUUUGCUCUCAAGGACUCUGUAAGACUCCCACCCGCGCAUGGCUGCGGCACCGUCACAAACUCGAACUCGCUAUGUAAUUCCAACUAACGCUUUUGUAAUCGGACACAUCUUCUGGUCUCAUGGCACUCACCUCAGACGCCUCAGCUAAAAUACAUCUGCAGACUCACCUGCCUGCCUCAUGCUAGCCCUGUUUUAAAGCUUUAACGGGGUUGGGAUUUCUAACGGGGGAAGGUGGAACAACACCUGGUUUACACUCAGCAUGCAAAUACCAGGUCUCUGAAUAUCCCAGUCAUUAGCCACACACACACACACACACACACACACACACACACACACACCACAGUCAAGCACAGCUGGGCAGUAACUGAACUCACAGCAUGGUUGUAUAUUAAUCAACCGUCAAAAUGAGUUUGAAAAUAGUGAUUUAUGAUGUUGUUACAAAUUCUGGGAUAUUUAUUACUCCAUUUAAAGAGUCCUGAAGAUUAUAAAACAAGUAUACAUCACAUAACGUUUUUCGUUUGCUUGUUUUUAUACUGAAACAGCCAAGGUAGCACUAUAAACAUGACUGGAAAGCUCAUAAUAUUCAUUCCUAAAUUAGUUUUUUUAUUAUUAUUCAUUUGAUAUGCAAACAAAUAGGACCCACUUUGGAGGGUUCUAAAGGCUUUCAGGUUAUAUUAACUGCACCCUUUUCUAAACAAUAUGUCCAAACUGUACUACAAAAGUAGUAGUCAAGUAAAGUGCGUUUGGAUUUUUUUUUUUUUUUUUUUAAUAAUCUCUGGAAA